rnacentral:rRNA from 1 species
UACGUAGGGUGCGAGCGUUAAUCGGAAUUACUGGGCGUAAAGCGUGCGCAGGCGGUUGUGCAAGACAGAUGUGAAAUCCCCGGGCUCAACCUGGGAACUGCAUUUGUGACUGCACGGCUGGAGUGCGGCAGAGGGGGAUGGAAUUCCGCGUGUAGCAGUGAAAUGCGUAGAUAUGCGGAGGAACACCGAUGGCGAAGGCAAUCCCCUGGGCCUGCACUGACGCUCAUGCACGAAAGCGUGGGGAGCAAACAGG